rnacentral:rRNA from 1 species
CGGCCAGACUCCUACGGGAGGCAGCAGUGGGGAAUAUUGCACAAUGGGGGAAACCCUGAUGCAGCAACGCCGCGUGAGUGAAGAAGUAUUUCGAUAUGUAAAGCUCUAUCAGCAGGGAAGAAGAUGACGGUACCUGAGUAAGAAGCCCCGGCUAACUACGUGCCAGCAGCCGCGGUAAUACGGAGGAUGCGAGCGUUAUCCGGAUUUAUUGGGUUUAAAGGGUGCGGAGGCGGUCCGUUAAGUCAGCGGAAAAAUUGCGGGGCGCAACCCCGUCGAGCCGUUGAAACUGGCAGACUUGAGUUGGCGAGAAGUACGCGGAAUGCGCGGUGUAGCGGUGAAAUGCAUAGAUAUCGCGCAGAACUCCGAUUGCGAAGGCAGCGUACCGGCGCCAGACUGACGCUGAGGCACGAAAGCGUGGGGAUCGAACAGGAUUAGAUACCCCCGUAAC